rnacentral:misc_RNA from 1 species
GUGGUGUUUGGUUUGAUACGGGUGGUCGGCUCCCUGCUUGAGCAGGCACGGCCUCGCGUACAUUCCUUUUCGGUUGUGCGACAAGGCUUGUAUCGCCUUGAUCGUAUAUGUGGGUUUCCUGUGUUGCAUACCUGAUCAAAGGAAUUGUCUAGAUCAAAAAAGUCCCUUUUUCGUCAAGCGUUGCCCUUGUGACGUCGGAUGAACCAAGUAGCACCCUUUUUGAUCCAUCCCGUUGAUGAGCAUUCGUCGAUGGUUUGGCCCAUUGAGGGUUGCCUGGUCUCUCGGAUAUGGAAGCAAAAGUUGGCAUGGGGUCGUAUGAUCCUUUUUAUUGCCCACAUUGAGCGUUCUCGCUUCUCUAAAACGACUGCCUUUCACUAUGGCUCUCCCAGCGUGUUGGCUAACGUCGAAAAGGAAUGC